UCUCACAUGCAUGCCUAACAUUGGACCUGGAUGUGGAUGAGGAGGAAGCAAAUAGAAAAACACAUGAGGUUUUUUCAGCACUUCAUAGUUUUUUGACAUCGAAAUAAUUUCUUCUAUGCCAUUGUCAGUGUAUCACCUCCACACUUCCCAGAGCUACAAAUCUAAACUCAUGCUCUAUCUUGGCCCUGGUAUUUUGAUUCCAUUCUGACCACCAGGGAUCUGAAUGCUGCUCAGCUCCAUGCAAGAUAACAUAUUUAUCAGCAUAUGACACGCACAUUUAACUCCUGAAAAGCUUUCUGUUAAAGACGGAAGAAAGAGUGAAGAUAAUGUUGAAGAUAAAGUUCUUAAAGGGUCCCAGUAGGUUGCAGUUUGCGCAGUCCUCCUUGAUAUAUCAAUCCCCCUUCAAAUCACAGUGUCCCUUUCACAGUCACGUUCUAAAGAUCAUGCACUUACCCUGAGGAGGAGCAAUGGUCCUGCCAGAAGCCGAUGCUGGAGGGUCUUGAAUGCAGCUUUCUGUUAAAGACGGAAGAAAGAGUGAAGAGUCAAGCUCUAUGAUUUUGACCCCUGCUGCUGAAUCCAGGGACAUCCUCUGCCAGAAGGACAUCUCUUAGCUCCGCCUCCCACUCUCGCAACUUGAUAGGCUUUCCUCGGUUUUGUCCUAGCCGAAGCCUCUGCAUCUUCUUUGUAACCGUUGCCCGACAAUCAUAGAACCUGCAAAUGUACAUAAACAUUACAAUUACAUUAAUAAAAAAACAAAUACUUAGAUUAAUGUUUUUUGAAAACCACAUUUCUUUUCACAUUGUGAUGGUUAUAUGUAUACUGUUCAGCAUGUGGCUGUGACAAAUAAAUUUUUUGGUUACGUUGAA